UGGGGAAUAUUGCACAAUGGGCGCAAGCCUGAUGCAGCCAUGCCGCGUGUAUGAAGAAGGCCUUCGGGUUGUAAAGUACUUUCAGCGGGGAGGAAGGCGUUGUGGUUAAUAACCACAGCGAUUGACGUUACCCGCAGAAGAAGCACCGGCUAACUCCGUGCCAGCAGCCGCGGUAAUACGGAGGGUGCAAGCGUUAAUCGGAAUUACUGGGCGUAAAGCGCACGCAGGCGGUUUGUUAAGUCAGAUGUGAAAUCCCCUGGCUCAACCUGGGAACUGCAUUUGAAACUGGCAGGCUUGAGUCUCGUAGAGGGGGGUAGAAUUCCAGGUGUAGCGGUGAAAUGCGUAGAGAUCUGGAGGAAUACCGGUGGCGAAGGCGGCCCCCUGGACGAAGACUGACGCUCAGGUGCGAAAGCGUGGGGAGCAAACA
rnacentral:rRNA from 1 species